rnacentral:rRNA from 1 species
AUCAUGGCUCAGAUUGAACGCUGGCGGCAGGCCUAACACAUGCAAGUCGAGCGGUAGCACAAGAGAGCUUGCUCUCUGGGUGACGAGCGGCGGACGGGUGAGUAAUGUCUGGGAAACUGCCUGAUGGCGGGGGAUAACUAGUGGAAACGGUAGCUAAUACCGCAUAACGUCGCAAGACCAAAGUGGGGGACCUUCGGGCCUCACGCCAUCAGAUGUGCCCAGGUGGGAUUAGCUGGUAGGUGGGGUAACGGCUCACCUAGGCGACGAUCCCUAGCUGGUCUGAGAGGAUGACCAGCCACACUGGAACUGAGACACGGUCCAGACUCCUACGGGAGGCAGCAGUGGGGAAUAUUGCACAAUGGGCGCAAGCCUGAUGCAGCCAUGCCGCGUGUGUGAAGAAGGCCUUCGGGUUGUAAAGCACUUUCAGCGAGGAGGAAGGGUAAUGUGUU